rnacentral:tmRNA from 1 species
GGGGGCGUACCGGGUUUCGACGGUUUCGCUUUCCGGGUCGUUUGCGCGUCGGGAUCCCAACCAUCCCGUUAAUCGUUGGAUCGCCAAAUAACUGGCAACCACAACUACGCUCUGGCCGCCUGAUCAGGCGACCUGUCUCUGAGAAAGUUUCCGUCGCUUUCGAAUGAGGCAUAACCACCCGACGGAUGCCGCGACGCACGCGCCCGCUGUGCGGAGCGAAAGACCGACGCGGGCUGGACGGUCGUGAUGCGGUCUUCGGCGGCACGACUGUCGAGAUAAAACCGGAAGACUACACGCGUAGAUAACGGUUCGUGGGCGUUACCGGACGCGGGUUCAACUCCCGCCGCCUCCACCA